rnacentral:rRNA from 1 species
CCUACGGGUGGCUGCAGUGAGGAAUAUUGGUCAAUGGACGUAAGUCUGAACCAGCCAUGCCGCGUGCAGGAAGACGGCUCUAUGAGUUGUAAACUUCUUUUGUACAAGGGUAAACCUGAAUACGUGUAUUCAUCUGCAAGUACUCUACGAAUAAGGAUCGGCUAACUCCGUGCCAGCAGCCGCGGUAAUACGGAGGAUCCAAGCGUUAUCCGGAUUUAUUGGGUUUAAAGGGUGCGUAGGCUGAUUGUUAAGUUAGAGGUGAAAUGUCGGGGCUUAACCAGGGAAUUGCCGCUAAUACUGUUGAUCUAGAGAGUAGAUGCGGUAGGCGGAAUGUAUGGUGUAGCGGUGAAAUGCUUAGAGAUCACACAGAACACCGAUUGCGAAGGCAGCUUACCAAUCUAUAUCUGACGUUGAGGCACGAAAGCGUGGGGAGCAAACAGGAUUAGAUACCCUGGUAGUC